GACGAACGCUGGCGGCGUGCUUAACACGUGCAAGUCGAACGAAGAGCGAUGGAAGCUUGCUUCUAUCAAUCUUAGUGGCGAACGGGUGAGUAACGCGUAAUCAACCUGCCCUUCAGAGGGGGACAACAGUUGGAAACGACUGCUAAUACCGCAUACGAUCUAAUCUCGGCAUCGAGGAUAGAUGAAAGGUGGCCUCUACAUGUAAGCUAUCACUGAAGGAGGGGAUUGCGUCUGAUUAGCUAGUUGGAGGGGUAACGGCCCACCAAGGCGAUGAUCAGUAGCCGGUCUGAGAGGAUGAACGGCCACAUUGGGACUGAGACACGGCCCAGACUCCUACGGGAGGCAGCAGUGGGGAAUCUUCCGCAAUGGACGAAAGUCUGACGGAGCAACGCCGCGUGAGCGAUGACGGCCUUCGGGUUGUAAAGCUCUGUUAAUCGGGACGAAAGGCCUUCUUGCGAAUAGUGAGAAGGAUUGACGGUACCGGAAUAGAAAGCCACGGCUAACUACGUG
rnacentral:rRNA from 1 species